AUUAUUGUUGUUGGAAUUCGAUUGGAUGCAGAGAAUCGAUUCGGUGAUAAAGUCACGUAAGUUCGCAACGACUGAUUUUAUUAUUAAAAAUAUUUUCUAUAUACGCUCUGAAAUUGACACAGAAUGGAAACUUAAGUGUUUUAAUUAAUCGAUUGGAAUCGUUCUUGUUGGAAUUCGAUUGGAAGCAGAAAAUCGAUUAUGUGAUGACGUCAUGUCAGUUCGUAACGAUCUGAUUUUAUUUGUUAUUAAAAAUAUUUUCUAUAUACGCUCUGAAAUUGACACAGAAUGGAAACUUCAAUGUUUAAUUAAGUUCGAUCAAUUGGAAUCGAAUAAUCGAUUCCAAUUAAUCGAUUCUGGUAUUAUUGUUGUUGGAAUUCGAUUGGAUGCAGAGAAUCGAUUCUGUGACGACGUCAUGUGAGUUCGCAACGAUCUGAUUUUGUUUGUUAUUAAAAAUAUUUUUUGUAUACGCUUCGAAGUUGACACAGAAUGGUCACUUCAAUGUUUAAAUUAAUGUAAAAAUACAUGCUAUAAAAAAUUUUUUCUGACUGCG
rnacentral:lncRNA from 1 species